UGUGGCUAGGGAAUGAGCAGUCCAACCAAGGGACUAUUGCUCCUCAAACAUGCAAGGUAGAAUCCUCAAUACAUGUGCGGCUGAAUAUUCCUUCAAUGAGAGCAGACUAUCGGUCAAGGCCUUCGGUACACCCGGUCAAGGGUGCCCGGUAUCCUGACAUACCUCCAAAUAGUUACCGCAUGUCUAAUAUAUCAAGUAUCAUUAACAGGGGAGGUAUAUAUCAUAGUGCACCUCAUGUACCGGGGGAAAACAAUCUAACACAGGGAUUGUUUUAGUGGACCACAUUGCAAAAUCCUCAAUACUCAUGUGCCUAGGGAAUGAGCAAUCCAACCGGGGGACUAUUGCUCCUCAGACACACACGGUAGAAUCCUCAAUAUAUAUAUAGCUGAAACAAGUCUUACUCGAGCAGAAUGCCGGUCAAGGCCUACUGCACACCCCGCCAAGGGUGACACGUCGGAAAAUCCCUCAACGCACAUGUGGUUAUCAUCCAUAUCGAACCAAGGAAGGUACAUAUGAUGGUGCAAUUCACAAACCCAUAUUCCAAUAUUAUAUAUAGCCC
rnacentral:lncRNA from 1 species